UACGUAGGGUGCAAGCGUUAAUCGGAAUUACUGGGCGUAAAGCGUGCGCAGGCGGCUUUGCAAGACAGAUGUGAAAUCCCCGGGCUUAACCUGGGAACUGCAUUUGUGACUGCAUGGCUGGAGUGCGGCAGAGGGGGAUGGAAUUCCGCGUGUAGCAGUGAAAUGCGUAGAUAUGCGGAGGAGCACCGAUGGCGAAGGCAAUCCCCUGGGCCUGCACUGACGCUCAUGCACGAAAGCGUGGGGAGCAAACAGG
rnacentral:rRNA from 1 species